GAUGAGGUAAACAAAGCAAUCAAGUGUAAAGGAGCUAAGUGAGCACACCAGCAAAGAGUGUCUGCACGCCCAACAAGUCUUCCUGACUCCUGAGGCAAAGACUAUCGAUUUUGGAGAAAUAGAAGGAGAGCAAAAAGUUGGAUCCCUGGGCCUGCAGGAAUAGCGACCCGGUAAUUUGGCGUAAAUGAGGAAAAACUAUUCAGGCAAAGAUUCACUUCUGGUGGUUCCUGCAGAUGACUCUCUGAAGUUGUAGACAUUGCAGAUGAUGGACAUUCAUAACCUCAUAUGUUAAGCUGGACCCUGACACACAAUGGGCAAAUGAAGUGCUGACCCCAAAAGCUACUUUGAGCAGGUAUGUCAUUAAGAGACUGAGACUAUUAGUACUUAAAUAUGAUUAAAAAAUUCUCCUCCCCCACCCCACCCCACCCUGGUUUUAUUAGUAUUUAUAGCCAGC